rnacentral:rRNA from 1 species
ACUAGCAAGUCGAGCGGACUUUUCAAAAGCUUGCUUUUGGAAAGUCAGCGGCGGACGGGUGAGUAACACGUGGGCAACCUGCCUGUAAGACUGGGAUAACUUCGGGAAACCGGAGCUAAUACCGGAUAAUAGAAGGAACCUCCUGGUUCUUUAUUGAAAGAUGGUUUCGGCUAUCACUUACAGAUGGGCCCGCGGCGCAUUAGCUAGUUGGUGAGGUAACGGCUCACCAAGGCGACGAUGCGUAGCCGACCUGAGAGGGUGAUCGGCCACACUGGGACUGAGACACGGCCCAGACUCCUACGGGAGGCAGCAGUAGGGAAUCUUCCACAAUGGACGAAAGUCUGAUGGAGCAACGCCGCGUGAGCGAUGAAGGCCUUCGGGUCGUAAAGCUCUGUUGUUAGGGAAGAACAAGUGCGAGAGUAACUGCUCGCACCAUGACGGUACCUAACCAGAAAGCCACGGCUAACUACGUGCCAGCAGCCGCGGUAAUACGUAGGUGGCAAGCGUUGUCCGGAAUUAUUGGGCGUAAAGCGCGCGCAGGUGGUCCUUUAAGUCUGAUGUGAAAGCCCACGGCUCAACCGUGGAGGGUCAUUGGAAACUGGGGGACUUGAGUGCAGAAGAGGAAAGUGGAAUUCCAAGUGUAGCGGUGAAAUGCGUAGAGAUUUGGAGGAACACCAGUGGCGAAGGCGACUUUCUGGUCUGUAACUGACACUGAGGCGCGAAAGCGUGGGGAGCAAACAGGAUUAGAUACCCUGGUAGUCCACGCCGUAAACGAUGAGUGCUAAGUGUUAGAGGGUUUCCGCCCUUUAGUGCUGCAGCUAACGCAUUAAGCACUCCGCCUGGGGAGUACGGUCGCAAGACUGAAACUCAAAGGAAUUGACGGGGGCCCGCACAAGCGGUGGAGCAUG